rnacentral:rRNA from 1 species
AGAGCUCAAAUUUGUAAUCUGACGGUCCACGGCCGUCCGAGUUGUAAUCUGGAGAAGCGUUUUCGAGCGCCGGCCCGCGUACAAGUCCCCUGGAACGGGGCGUCGCAGAGGGUGAGAAUCCCGUCUCUGACGCGGUUCGGCCGGCGCGUUGCGAUGCGCUCUCGAAGAGUCGAGUUGUUUGGGAAUGCAGCUCAAAACGGGUGGUAAAUUCCAUCUAAAGCUAAAUACAGGCGAAAGACCGAUAGCGAA